UACAGAGGUCCCAAGCGUUGUUCGGAUUCACUGGGCGUAAAGGGUGCGUAGGUGGUGAGGUAAGUCGGAUGUGAAAUCUCCAAGCUCAACUUGGAAACUGCAUUGGAAACUACCUUGCUAGAGGAUUUGAGGGGGGAUUGGAAUACUUGGUGUAGCAGUGAAAUGCGUAGAUAUCAAGUGGAACACCAGUGGCGAAGGCGGCUUACUGGUCCGGUUCUGACGCUGAGGCGCGAAAGCGAUGGGGAGCAAACAGGGAUUAAGAAACCCCGAUGUAACGUCCGACGAACCAAACGA
rnacentral:rRNA from 1 species